UACGAAGGGGGCUAGCGUUGUUCGGAUUUACUGGGCGUAAAGCGCACGUAGGCGGACUAUUAAGUCAGGGGUGAAAUCCCGGGGCUCAACCCCGGAACUGCCUUUGAUACUGGUAGUCUUGAGUUCGAGAGAGGUGAGUGGAAUUCCGAGUGUAGAGGUGAAAUUCGUAGAUAUUCGGAAGAACACCAGUGGCGAAGGCGACUCGCUGGACAGACAUUGACGCUGAGGUGCGAAAGCGUGGGGAGCAAACAGG
rnacentral:rRNA from 1 species